GAAUGACAAAGCGCCAUUAAAGAGAAACAUAUUCUACCUAUGUGACUUUCUUCUCCAUGAUUGUUAGAAAUGAGCUUCUGAGCUAUGAUGUGCAGAAUUGAGCACAGCACAGAUAGCAGGCAGUGCUUCAGCAAUCACCAAGCAUUUGGGGUAGGCGAGACUCAUUAUCUCCCACCCUGUUACAAGGUCCUUAGAGAGGUGAUGUAUUCUAAAUACUUCCCAGAUGCCAGCCUUGUAUCCUGAGUUGAAUGUUAUUCCUACUUGCUCCUCUCCUCUCCCUUUAUCCUGGAUCCAGAGAGGAAAAUAUCUCUUGCACUUCUAACCAUCUAGGCUCUUUCUAAAACCUGAACUAACACAAGGAGUAUUCCAGUCCUGUCUGUCAUUGUGCAUGGUGGUUUAGGCUUCCAGCAGAAAGUGUUCCUGCAAACAAGGAGCGGACUUGUCGCCUCUGUUACCCAGCAGGAGUCGGACAUCUCCUCUACCGUCUUCUGCUGUUGAAAGGAAUCACCCAGAGUAGGUGAGGAACAAUACAUUCCACCUUUUUGUAGGAAGAGCUGUGCAAUCUGCUGUCAUGUCUUUGAACCGCCACACGAGGUCACCCUUUCCCCUUUUGAAAUUGUCCGUCAUUUAACGCUGGAGAUGUUCGUCUUAAUUCUUAAGUAUAUUUACUACACCAAAAAUGCUGUAUGGCUCAACCAAGAUAAAUGUCAUUGUUUCUUUGGUGUUAAUACUGCUUUUUCCUGCAAUUAUAGAAGACUGCCAUGUAUUUCUGAUGGUUCUAGAUGUGACCGAGCUGCUCUGGGCACUAGCAGCUUAAGAACGUGAGUUGCUCCUUGUUUUGACCUCAACCUGAAGGGCAGUUGCAAUGUACUCUGGAACUUAAUUGGCAGUGACAGUUCUUGUUUUGCAUGCUACAGAAACUGAAAACCUUAUGUGGUCAAACAGAAGUCAUUUUCAUGUGAUGUAGAAGGUUCAGUGUACAUUCUCCAGGAAGCUGGAGUGGAAUGAGACGUGAGCUGAGGAGGUGUUGAGGAGCGGAUGUCUGCUAGACAAUUUCUCCUGG